AUCCAUCUGACGAGUCCCAAUAGGAGGAAACACGCAUCCUGGAU
rnacentral:hammerhead_ribozyme from 1 species